rnacentral:lncRNA from 1 species
AAAAAUACUAUCUGGUGAGAUGGUUUAGCAGGUAAAGUCACUUGUCUUGAAAAGUUAGUGACCUGAGUUAGGUCCUUGGAACCCUUAUGAAGGUGGGUGGAGAGAACCAACUCCACAAAAUUGUCCUCUGACCUCUACACAUGCUAGUCAGUCCCUAGACCUUUCUUAUCUCCUCUGAGGUGUCUAGUAAAUCUGGCUACACCACUGUUAAGCUCCAGCUGCUGGCCUGUCCCGGGGGCAUGGCUCAUGUUGGAAAACCAGAGUUAGGAUCCCUGAAGUGUGGCUUCUCACUGCUGUCUGAUCUGGACAGAAGCUGACUUGCGACUCAGCUUCUCCUAUGAAUUACCACAGGGAGGGUGGAUGACAGCCAACUAAAAAGGAUGGGAUCAGAGUAAAGUGAAAUGUAAUUAAUGUAGAUCCCAACGGAGUUAGAGCUAGUUUGAUGAGCAGAUGGUUUAUUAGGAAAGUACUCACGCCACGGAGUCCGUCCUGUACAACCAGGUGGGUCAGGGAACAGAGAGAGCUGCAUGCGUGGACCCUCAUAUUUAAAGUCUUGCUACGUCACUCUGACCACGUCCAAAUGUGCAUGGUCAGCGUCACUUGUGCCAGCCCUCAAGUGGGCGUGAAUGAUGACCAAGAUUUCACACUGAGUGAAAGGCUGGUGCUCAGAGUCUGCAUUGUAAUGCCUACCUACCUGCCACUCCUGAGUCUUAUCUCACUCUCAGAUGGGUGCAUAGGAUGGAUUACUCUUGAGCAAUGGGGAUGGGACCUGCGUUUGCUGCCUGUACUCUGCUCUAGCCACAGGCAUCUGGGAUAAAAGUAGGAGUUUUGCCAAAGAUUGAGACAGAAUCAGAGUCCUCAGGACUCCUUUACUCUACUCUUGGGCAAUGCUGUUUUGCAAUGGCCCAGCCCCAAACCCUUUGCUGAUGGCAGAACCUUGUACCAUCUAGAUGGUGUCACUAUGCAGAAGAAAAUAAAAUGACUAGUGUUUAAUAAAGCUUUACAAUAUAGGCAGUAGUUUAUGUGGCCAGCAACUUUUUAUUCCCCCAAGUUCCUUUCUGCAAAAUGCGAAAGUAUCUUAUUCAUGGGAUGGGCUAUCUUGAGGUUAGGAAGUUUCCUGUAAAUGCUACAAUCUGUGCCUGGCACAUGAUAUGUGCUCAAUAAAAGCUAGAUAUUGGGUGGGGAAG